GAAGCUGGAUUCGCUAGUAAUCGCGCAUCAGCCAUGGCGCGGUGAAUACGUUCCCGGGCCUUGUACACACCGCCCGUCAAGCCAUGGAAGCCGGGGGCGCUUGAAGUGCGUUGCCGCAAGGCGCGCCCUAGAGCGAAACCGGUGACUGGGGCUAAGUCGUAACAAGGUAGC
rnacentral:rRNA from 1 species